rnacentral:rRNA from 2 species
GACUCUUGACAAUGGAUAUCUCGGCUCUCGCAUCGAUGAAGAACGUAGCAAAAUGCGAUACUUGGUGUGAAUUGCAGAAUCCCGUGAACCAUCGAGUCUUUGACCGCAAGUUGCACCUGAAGCCAUUAGGUUAAGGGCAUGUCUGCCUAGGCAUCA